rnacentral:sRNA from 1 species
UAUUGCAUCUAACUAGGAAUCUACCUUUUCAAUGGGCCAUUGUCUUGCUCAUGACCUUCUGGGUCAACCCAGAAGCCCAAGGCAGCAGUUUCCAAGUUCCCAGAGUAUGACUUCAUCUCAGGAGAAGACACCAAGGUGCCCAGGAGAACACCAGAUGACAUCAGACUCUCAAAUUAUGAGGAAGAGGCUGUGAAUGCCUAAGAGGAGAACUGGUUUUACGGCUUUGUUUGAUGUCAGUGAUGCAAGGGACUGAUUCUUACUGGGCAGGGACCAUGCGGUACUACACACAGGCUUCUCAAAAGCAUUGUUGCACUCAGCUCGUGAUUCACUCCAACACUGAGGAAAACUCACCCAAGAACUGCCUGUGAGGUUCCUUCAGUGGCCUCACCUCAGUCCAGUUGGCGAGCCUGGCGGUUUC